GUGGGUGUAGCUCAGUGGUAGAGCGCAUGCUUAGCAUGCAUGAGGGCCUGGGUUCAAACUCCAGUACCUCCA
rnacentral:tRNA from 1 species